GGGGCUAGCGUUGCUCGGAAUCACUGGGCGUAAAGCGCACGUAGGCGGAUUGCUAAGUCAGGGGUGAAAUCCUGGAGCUCAACUCCAGAACUGCCUUUGAUACUGGCGACCUUGAGUCCGGGAGAGGUGAGUGGAACUGCGAGUGUAGAGGUGAAAUUCGUAGAUAUUCGCAAGAACACCAGUGGCGAAGGCGGCUCACUGGCCCGGUACUGACGCUGAGGUGCGAAAGCGUGGGGAGCAAACAGG
rnacentral:rRNA from 1 species